CGAGCAGUAGCUCAGUGGUAGAGCUCCAGUUUCGUAUGCGGGAAGACCGGGAUUCGAUUCCCGGCUGCUUAC
rfam:Toxocara canis scaffold442, whole genome shotgun sequence.